GUUCUCGUGAGAUCUGCUUGUUUAAAAGUGUAGCACCUCUCCACAGCCCUCUCCAACCGGCCAUGUGAAUAUGUACUUGCUUACCCUUUGCCUUCCACCAUGACUGUAAGUUUCCUGAGGCCUUCCAAGAAACAGAAGCCUCUACAGCCUGCAGAACCACCCAGUCUCAGCAUCGGGGUGGAUAACGAUCCCUGAUGGAUGUUCAUCUUCCCAACAUGCCUGGACUGUGGGCAGGAUCAUUCAAACAGUGGAGUGACAGGGAGGUGAGGAUUGUCCGGGAAGCCACUCAUGCUAACCUCACUAAUAUAAACAAGUUUUCAAGACCCCCACGUUCAGGGACCUGGAAGAGAAGCCACGUAUGAAACUGUUCCAAAUGAGGCAAAAAGGUGAGCUGUUUCUAAGCCUAUACUGAGAGAGAAACUUAAAUGGAAGAAAAAAUAGUCCAGAGGCUUUAAAUGUGUAAAUGAGUGAGUCGUAUAAUAGUGGAUGUUGAGACAACCUAACAGAGUUAAUACUUUGAGGGAAAGAGGCGAAAAACAGAGCCGAAAAUGAUUGGAGUCAAAUAAUUGUCACCAUUAGUUCAAAUAUUUAUAUUUUAAUACGUGGUUAAGAUACUCAGGGGAGGGAAUCCAGGUGCUUCUGUACUACCUACUUUUUGGUUGUUCUUUUCCCUUGACUCUGUUACAACUACUUUUUCUUCUCACUUAACUGUUCUGCAUUUUUUCCUACCUUCACUCUCUCUCAUGGGACUUAGCUAACAGCCUCAAGAAUGCUUUCUCUCUAUGAAAUGUGUCUUCUAAUUUUAAUUUGUUUGUGUUCUUUGUGUUAAUAAGUCACUUAUAUCAUUAAUGGUGAUAAUUUACAUCGAACAUUCUAAAUGAGAUGUAUGUGAGUUAUUAGCUGGAAUCUUUUGACUGUAUUGUGGCAAAGGAUGGUGAAAACCUGUAUUUAGAAAGAUUUUAUAGUAAGGGACCUUCAUUUUUAAUGAUUAAUGAAAGAGAAAAAAUAAUAUCCUGAUCCCUCCACAGGAAUUUACAUUUAAUUGGUAAAAACUUACAUCAAAUAAUAUCUUCAAACCCCACUGAUGUUUGUGUUUAAAGUACAGUGAAGGAUUUAGAAUGUCCCCACUCAACUCUCCUAUAAAUAAGUGUGUGGCAGGUUUUGGUCAUGAUUGUAAUAGAGAUAGAGAUAUAACUCUUUUGUUUGACAUAUGUAGUAUUGCCAUGUGCUAAAAUAUGAAAUGAGAUCUGGAGAUAUCUUCUGACUAACAAAUGGUUUCUGAAAUUUUAAUGGUAAGAUAUAAAUUAUGUUGUAACAGAAUUUUUAAGAGAG
rnacentral:lncRNA from 1 species